UCCGACAUAGCUCAGUUGGUAGAGCGCUUGACUGUUAAUCAAGAUGUCGGCGGUUCGAGCCCGCCUGUCGGAG
rnacentral:tRNA from 1 species